UUUAUUGCACAACAGGAAUAUUGGAAUCAGGUCAGGAUAGAAAUAUAGCAGCCUUAACAAUUAAUUCUUGUGUGUGCUUUUUUUUA
rnacentral:SRP_RNA from 1 species